GACGAACGCUGGCGGCGUGCUUAACACAUGCAAGUCGAACGAAGAGCGAUGGAAGCUUGCUUCUAUCAAUCUUAGUGGCGAACGGGUGAGUCACGCGUAAUCAACCUGCCCUUCAGAGGGGGACAACAGUUGGAAACGACUGCUAAUACCGCAUACGAUCUAAUCUCGGCAUCGAGGAUAGAUGAAAGGUGGCCUCUACAUGUAAGCUAUCACUGAAGGAGGGGAUUGCGUCUGAUUAGCUAGUUGGAGGGGUAACGGCCCACCAAGGCGAUGAUCAGUAGCCGGUCUGAGAGGAUGAACGGCCACAUUGGGACUGAGACACGGCCCAGACUCCUACGGGAGGCAGCAGUGGGGAAUCUUCCGCAAUGGACGAAAGUCUGACGGAGCAACGCCGCGUGAGUGAUGACGGCCUUCGGGUUGUAAAGCUCUGUUAAUCGGGACGAAAGGCCUUCUUGCGAACAGUUAGAAGGAUUGACGGUACCGGAAUAGAAAGCCACGGCUAACUACGUG
rnacentral:rRNA from 1 species